UUUCCAAAGCAAACCCUAAAUCAUUAACGCGCCUCUCAAACUCAAACUACUCUCAACUUUCUCUCUCCUCCUAUUUUCAUAUCACUCAACUUCUCAAGCGGCGCCCGACGGAUCUCAAAACUCCUCCACCCUUCUUCUCUUCUUGCAUGUGUUUUGUCUCCACUUUCAGCUUGCAAUCUGGAAGAUGGUUGUUGUCUUGCUGAGUUGCUGACCUGCUGCGGUGUUGUGUGCUCCUUACCUACUAUUGCUUGUCUUGCUUGUUGCUGUCUUGCUGCUGCCUUUUGUUGAGUCGCAGUUGAUGAGUGACAUUUAUGUCGCUCAUAGGGUAGUGAUUAGGCAAUUAUUCGAGUCGUUUUAUUGUAUUUUUAGCAUUUGUAAUCUUUAUUUUCCUUAAUUUAUCAUUUUAAUUACUUAUAACUUAGUUUAGUAUUUUUAGCUAUUUUUGUUAGUUUUUAGAUCUUGAUUUCGUAAUUUUUUUAUCAUGUUUGUUUUAUAAUUUUAUAGUUUAGUUAUUUAUUUAUUAAUUUUCUAUUUCUAUUUUUAUUCAUUUAUUAUUAUUAUUAUUAUUAUUAUUAUUAUUAUUAUUAUUAUUAUUAUUAUAUAAAUCAAAUGCGAACCAAGUCAAAUAUUUUACAAAUAGUUAGUGGGCAGCCGAGAAACAAUCUGGACCCCCACUCCCCUGGCUAUAGCAAAGCCUAUCCUAGUGAAAAUAUGAGCAGCAGCACGAGCCCCAAUGUCCUGUGUCCUAAAAAACUUCUGAAUCCGCUUCAGCAACGCAACAACAUCCUUAUCCAGCUCCCCCAAUUAAGAGAAAGAGAGCGGAAGAAGGUCAUAACCAAUGGCCCUGCAAUGUGCUUGUACUUCACUCGUUUCCGAAUAGCCGCAUCAGUCACAACCCGGCCCAGAGCAAAGCCAGACAACCCAGACUGUGUCAAAGGAGAUGAUCCCGUCAAGUCGCUCCAUCGUUCCCUCCAGAUAGACCAAUAUCAACCUCUUUUCGCGCCGAAAUCCCAGAGCGAUAACAAACAUCAACAAGAGUAUCCCGAACCACAUUAUCAACAAGAGAAAUAUUAUUAUUAUUAUUAAUUAUUAAUUAUUAUUUGUCAUUUACUUUUUUUUGUUUAAAUUCUAUUUUUCGGUUCUCCCUCAUCUUUGUUUUUAUGUGUGUAGGUGAUCGUGUGUUUUAAGAUUGGGCAGGAGUUUGACAAUCGAGUCCAUUGUUUUGACUUGUCAGGGAAUGAAAUGAAUGGGACUUGGGCCUUUGUCUUAGUGGGCCUCAAAGUCUCAAGCAUGCUGUCAGCUACUCUCCUCUCCACCUUAGCCUACACUCCAAACUCCAGCCUAUCCUUCACCACAUCAAGAAGCACCAACCUCCCUCUCCUUCACCGCCACAUCACCGACAACAUCCCUGCACCCUCUUCUCUGCCUCGCAACUCCAACAACCACCGUGCAAUACUGAAAACAAAGAAAAACUCCAAGCAAGCUGCACCUGCAUCUCCACCUCACCACCAACAUUCAAUCUUCACCAUCAUUGCACCAACACCAAACGCAACAAAAAUCAGCCUAAAAUCGCAAGCACGAAGCAGAGCAAAAAGCAGAGUAUUUAUGUUUGGGCGAACCUAAAUUGAGUUCGACCGAACCCAAAAUUUAGAAAAGUUCUUGACAAGGUCGGGUCCGGUCGAACCUUAAUGGAGUUCUCUCAAACCACUAUUAAGUUCGCUCAGACCUCCUUUGAGUUCGCCCGAACAUUUGAGCGCUCAAUUAUUAUACGGAAUUAAUGAAAUCGGGCGGCCGUGAUACGAUGAUCAAAAUCAAAUGGCCACGAUUGAUUGCAUUUUGACGAUGAUGAUGAUUAGAGAUGAGGGCCAUUGAUGACGGCUGAUGAAGGGUGACGAUCGAUGGUGAUGGAUUGGUGAGGAUGGACGACAAGAUGAUGAUAAUCGUCAAUGAUAGAUGAUGAAAAGUGAACGGUGAUGAUUGAUGAUAUUUGAUGAUCAACGGUGGGAGCUGCGAUGAAGAGCAGCGAAAUAGAGGAGCGUAGAAAAUGGGCGAAGGAAAGGAAGAACGAAUUAGAGGAGAAGACAAAAUAUGGUUCUGAAUUUGUGGGCUUUGUUAUUUUGUCCUCUUAUUUUUUCUUCUCUUUAUUUUUAUUUCCCUUUUAUUUUCUUUCUAUUUUUCUUUUUUCUUUUUCUCCUCUUUUAUUCUUUUCUUUUAACAUGUAGUAUAAAUAUCCAAAUAUUUGGAGGUCAUGGGGGAAUGUACAUAAAUUAGGCUUUUCUCUUAUUUUUAGGGUUUUUCUUAGUUAUUGAAGAGAGAAAAAGUGAGAAAAAUUAAUGGAAAGCUUGAUUUUUGGAUGA